GAGUACGUGGGCUGGACUCUCAGGAAUGUCCUUUAGACAGUGUGGAUCAAACAUGGUGUACCUGCCCCCCUGGAUGAUUAUGGCCCCAGAUUUUUGUCCACAGAUGUACAAAAUAUACUGGAUAGUGUUUGAAUAAUUGGCCGUCAGCAGGUCACGCAGGGACGUGAUGCAGGAGUCAGAAAUGUCAGCUGGCAUGCCAAGCAGGCCAAACAUUUCAGCAGAGGUAUAGAUGAACCCAGACCACUUUCUUGUUUGGACAUAGCAAGGCACGUGGUCCAGCUGGGCAUAUUGGCCAGGAGAUAAGAGGCCCAAUUUUCUCAGAUUGCUGUCUAACUCUGCCCCAAACUUUAAAACUUUAUUAAGGUCGUGGGUCUCGGUUAUGGGGGCUUCAUUGUUGAAGUAGGAAGACAUCAGGUAUAUGAUACAGUUGCUAAGACACUGAGCCCCUGCAUUUUCUCCAAAUUUACAAUCUGCCUGAUUGGUUGAGGCUGUACCUUCGAUGCGAAACCCAGCCAAAGAAGCAGGCAGGGCCAUUAUGAUAGCAGUUUUAUUAUGUCAUGAAUUUUUACAAUAGUGUAGGGGCACUCUGCGUGCUCGGCGGUGUAGGUUUGUUGUGUAAAUAUUUGCCAGUUAACAUCCAGGGGUAUUCUGUCAUAAGUGCUGGAAUAUUUUUUCAGUUGGGGUGGAUGUUUCUCACCACGGGCAGCGUUUUGGCUAAAAAUCUGGGGGUAGGUAGAAUAUAGCAUGGUUAGGUCUUCAUCUGUGGGGUUUCCCCCAGCCUGGGUCAUUGACGUGUCUGUGGGUGGAGCCAUCAGAUUUACUGGAAUUUCUUUAAGAUUUUUGAUAAUUUCCACAUUUCCAGCCGAUGCCGCCUUUAAGAUUGUGGGGGUAAUGAUUUCCUGGGAAAACAGGUCAUGAAACCUUUUUCUUAAGCAACUUGAACAUCCUUUCGAGAGAAGGGAUAGUCCAGAGCUAAUUCUGGAGAGUAUGCCACUGAAGGACUGUUUGAGUUGGUUCCAAGGUUCGGUGUCAAAUUCUAUCCCCAACUCAUGCUGUUUAUAUGCCUCUAGGUCUUGAAGAAGUGAGAGCACCGUGCUGUAUUCCCCCCUGAGUUCACCCUCCAGAUCUGUUAUCUCCAUCAGGAGCUGACUGUGAUCCUUUUCCACCUGGCUAAUCAGACUCUUGAGGGUCUCCAAGUGAACUUCCAGAAUCUGUCCACUGGAGGACAGUAUGGUGAAUUGAUGGGUUAGGGGGUGAUAGUUAUAUUUGGUGUGACAUAAAAUUGAGCCCAGACGUAAGAUGUUUCUGCCCCUCAACAAAAGGUGUUCGACCUUGGGGAUGAUGGCCGUGAUAUAAUCUACAGAAUUGAUAUAGGAUGCGCCAGUGUCUAGUACAAAUAAGUAGAGGAUUAGAUCCUGGGGUAUAGAAAAUGUCUGGUUAAUUUUGUUGAUCUUUUUCUUUAGAUCCAGGGCAUGGUCCAAGAGAUUCUUCAUGGCAGAAGGUUUAUUGGUCCCGUUGAUGAUGUCGAGCAGCUCAAAGUAGAACAUGCCCAGCGGUCUGCGGAUCUCCUGCAGCUGGGGCGUGUCGGUGAUAGCGAAGCUCAGCAGCCAUCUUAUUUGGAAGAGGGCCCGGUUUCUUGACGUCUUUCUGGAAAAUAUCCCCUGUAUGGUGGGACCAACGAUGUGUCUGAUGAAGUACUUGUAAAACAUUUUAUGGGAGACCAUGGCAGGCUCGUAGGAUAAGUCCCCGACAGGCAUUCUUUUACAGUAGGCCGCGACCCUCUCUUCGGAAACCUGGUGCUCGCAAGAGGGUUCCAUCAGUGGAUUCUGGGUGAUGAGGACAAUGCCCCAAUUCCUGUUUACCCAUGAAAAAAAUAAAGUUCUCAUGAUAUCUGA
rnacentral:lncRNA from 1 species